rnacentral:lncRNA from 1 species
AAGACUCGUGGCCCAGGUAUGUUUACGAGUGGGAGUGUUGUUAGGAUGCAAGGGCGCCCUGCACCAGAGCAGGGGCACCCGGGCACCAGAGGGAAACCAGGCCAUACCAGACUGACUGCCGCCACCACCUCAACCGUGCAUCUAUGAUGUGGAAUGCCGACCUUUUCUACCGUACAUCUGCUUCCACAAUUCAAUAAGGCGGCAGGGAAAACUCGGGCGGCGCGAGAAGCGACCAGGUAGGCCGCAGCACGGCAGCAGUGGGGAGUGUGGGGAGCUCCUGCUGUUUGGUUGAUUGCUGGCUGUGAUUUUGCUUGGCAGCGGGACGUGGCUGGACGCAUGGCGGGCCGUGCCUGUACGAACCGACCCCGGCUAUGUCCGGGAGAUGAGGUAGACGCUUGCGGCCUCAGACUAGAGACGUGGCGUGGGCGCAGCCCACUUUUCCCAUGCGAGGAAAACCAACAUCGGUAUCUUGUCUACCAUACAACACGUGUCUCGGGCAUGACGCCAUGUGUCGAAGUCGAUGGAGUCAAGGCCUAGCCGCAGCAUGCCACAGCCCCACGAUGUAGAGCACCGCGGCCUGGUAAGAAGUUGGCAUCAGGGGAGGCAUCAGGCAGGAAUCACAUGCCCUAAGCAAGACCUGGCAAGACUGAGCCAGUCCAGUACUUGCAUAAAUAUGGAUGGACAAGGUUUGUGGUAGGCGGCUUGACCCCGCCCCUGACCCUGUACCCAAGACCUGCACCGGGUUGAAACCAACUGAUGCCCUACACAGAACGUGCCAACCUGACCCCGUGAACCCGAAGCCGCAUCUACUAAGCCCGAAGCCGCACCUACUAAGCCCGAAGCCGCAGCUACUAAGCCCGAAGCCGCACCUACUAAGCCCGAAGCCGCACCUACUAAGCCCGAAGCCGUACCUACUAAGCCCGAAGCCGCAGCUACUAAGCCCGAAGCCGCACCUACUAAGCCCGAAC